rnacentral:rRNA from 1 species
AACGAACGCUGGCGGCAGGCCUAACACAUGCAAGUCGAGCGAGGACUUCGGUCCUAGCGGCGGACGGGUGAGUAACGCGUGGGAACGUGCCCUUUGGUACGGAAUAGCCCCGGGAAACUGGGAGUAAUACCGUAUGGUGUCUUCGGACUAAAGAUUUAUCGCCAAAGGAUCGGCCCGCGUUGGAUUAGGUAGUUGGUGGGGUAAUGGCCUACCAAGCGACGAUCCAUAGCUGGUUUGAGAGGAUGAUCAGCCACACUGGGACGUGAGACACGGCCCGAGACUCCUACGGGAGGGCAGCAGUGGGGGAAUCUUAGACAAUGGGGGCGAACCCUCGAUCUAGCCAUGCCGCGUGAGUGAUGAAGGCCCUAGGGUUGUAAAGCUCUUUCAGCU